rnacentral:other from 14 species
CUUUCCACACUAUUUAGUUCUACGGAAAC